rnacentral:rRNA from 1 species
CAGCAGCCGCCACGGGAAUACGUAGGGUGCAAGCGUUAAUCGGAAUUACUGGGCGUAAAGCGUGCGCAGGCGGUUAUAUAAGACAGAUGUGAAAUCCCCGGGCUCAACCUGGGAACUGCAUUUGUGACUGUAUAGCUAGAGUACGGCAGAGGGGGAUGGAAUUCCGCGUGUAGCAGUGAAAUGCGUAGAUAUGCGGAGGAACACCGAUGGCGAAGGCAAUCCCCUGGGCCUGUACUGACGCUCAUGCACGAAAGCGUGGGGAGCAAACAGGAUUAGAUACCCCAGUAGUCCCUGUCUCUUAUAC